UUUGGAGGAGAUCAACACUAGUCAGCGAGGAUUCGCCCACUAGUGCCUUUUUU
rfam:Candidatus Pelagibacter sp. IMCC9063, complete genome.